GCUUUCCUCUCCUGCUAAGCUUUGUUUCCUUGCAGUAAUUAAAACCUUCUGCCACUGCCAUAGCUACUGCUGCUGCUGGAACCACCAUAGCUACCUUGGUUUUGUGGUUUGGCAAAGUGGCCUCCACCACCAUAUGGGCCAGAGCUUCUGGCUCCAAAAUUUCCUCCUUUCAUGGGUCCAAAAUUUGAAGAUUGCUUGUUGUAAUUGCCAAAAUCAUUAUAGCUUCCACCACCUCCAGAGUUGCUUCCAUCGUUAUCAAAUCUAUUAUAGCCAAAUCCACUGACACCAUAUCUACCACCACCUUGACUGCCACCGAAGCCACCUCACCCACUGAAGUUUCCUCCACAGCCAAAUUUGUCAUUCCCAUCAAAACCACCUCUAUGACCACCACUGAAGUUUCCAGAACCACUUCGACCUCUUUGGCUGGAGGAAGCACUAGCCAUCUCUUGCUUAGAUAAAGCUUUCCUUACUUUACAGUUGUGCCCUUUCACAGUAUGGUAUUUUUGAAUGACAGUCUCUCUUUUUUUUUUUUUUUUUAAUUUUUAACGUUUAUUUAUUUUUGAGACAGAGAGAGACAGAGCAUGAAUGGGGGAGGGUCACAGAGAGAAGGAGACACAGAAUCUGAAACAGGCUCCAGGCUCUGAGCUGUCAGCACAGAGCCUGACGCGGGGCUGGAACUCACGGACCGUGAGAUCAUGACCUGAGCCAAAGUCGGACGCCUGACCGACUGAGCCACCCAAGCGCCCCUGAAUGACAGUCUUGUCUACAGAGUCAUGAUAGUCAAAUGUUACAAAAGAAAAGCCUCUCCUUUUGCCACUGCCUCGGUCAGUCAUGAUUUCAAUCCCUCCAAUUUUCCCAUACUAUUCAAUCUCUUAGAUGAUGUUCUUCAGUAUUUUCUUUAAUGCCAUCGACAAAAAUCUUUUCCACAGUUAAGUGGGCACCAGGUCUUUGAGAAUUGUCUCUCGACACAGCCCUCUUUGGUUCUACAACUCUUCCAUUCACUUUGUGUGGCCUUGCAUUCAUGGCUGCAUCCACCUUUUCCACAGUGGCAUAGGUGACAAACCCAAAGCCUCUGGAGCACUUGGUGUUUGGAUCUCUCGUUACCACACAGUCUGUAAGCGUUCCACAUUGCUCAAAAUGGCUCCUCAGACUCUCAUUGGUUAUUUCAAAGCUCAGACCUCCGAUGAAAAGCUUCUGCAGCUGUUCAGGCUCUUUGGGAGACUCUGACUUAGACAUGAUGGCAGUGCGAGGGGAGACUUUAAUGAUGCUUACUCAGCAGCGUCUGUGGGCAGAAAG
rnacentral:lncRNA from 1 species